rnacentral:lncRNA from 1 species
GGGCAACCUGCCCGGCGCGGCCGCCCGGCUGCAGGGCUACUGGGCUGCUGGCACGUGGCGCCCAGCCCGACGACAAUGGCGUGCCGACGUGCCGUGCCGUGAGUGCAAGGCCCACGCGCGCUUCUGCGAGGUCCACUGCCUGCUGCGCGCGGCGCUGGAGCACAGCUGCUCGGGCCUGGGCGUGACGCAGGCGGGCUGGCGGGACCAGCUGCGUGCAGGGGCUGCGGAGCAGGGGCCUGGCCACGCCGCCGCAGGUGGAGCUGCUGCUGGAGCUUGGGCGCUGGCUGGUGGUGAAGAAGGAGUGGCGGUGGGCGAGGCGGCUGGUGAGCGGUUGCUGAGGGGUUGAUGGGACGGUGGCGAGGGUGGUGAGCAACGCGGGGUGAUUCGCGCGGUAGGUUUGCCAGCAGUGCGCUCUAGCCGUCUAGGUGCUCGUUGAGCCGCUCUAGGCCAGACUUCAUCGUUGGGGCAUGCGAGCUCUGAUGUUGUGUUUAUGCAUUACUUUGUGUGUUGCAUUGGCGUGUGCAGUGGUCAAGCGAAGGGGGGAAGCGAAGGAGGCGCGAUGCAGGGAUGGACGGAUACGGCGGGGUCACGGCGGGGCAGGUUACGGGCAGGUGCACGGCUGGCUGGCGGUGAUUGCAAUACAACUAGACACGGCUGGAUCGCUAGCCGCUAGAUGGCUGGAGGCGAGGACCAACACAGGCAUGGCAUACUGCAAGGCCCACUGCGAUUCUGAGGGCACUUCCCUACAGACGUUAAGUGACACCCGGUGACACGGUGUGACGGUGGCCGUGUGUGGGGGACAAGCCUGUUUACCAGCAGGGAUCGCUUACGGUACAUCCCUUUGCCAAUCAGCAAGCUCCCCCGCUGUAGCGUUUUGAGCCCGUAUUACUGCGCUGGUAAUUUGAGGGCCGCGGCUGGCUGCUCGGGCGACGCAUCCGCGCAACCGCAUCCUGACAUUCGUGUGGCGGGUUACAGUCCUCACCCUGGGAGGAACCCAGCUUGUCCAGGUAAACCACCGCAGCUAUCUUUCCAGGCACUGCAGGUACUCCGCCUCCUCGUUACCAGCCGUGCUCUUAGGAAACGAUGAGCGCUUUUAGGCAAAUGUCCAUCAAGUUUGCACCCGCCGCCAACCGCCAACCCUGUGCACCCACGCCCGAACCCUGGUUUUCGUUGCAAGCGCAUGCUCUGAGUAACCAC